UCUAUAAGAGGAAGAGGGUGCAGGCUCUCCAGCCACAGCCCGCAAAAUUCCACCUGCUCACAGGUUGGCUGGCUUAACCCAGGUGGUGCCUCCUGCUCUGAGCCAGCUUCCGGCCAAGACAGCACCAUGGCCAGGAUACCGCUGCCGCAGCAAAAGUAGGAGCAGAUGCCGCCGCCGCAGGCGAAGAUGUCGCAGACGGAGGAGGCGAUGCUGCAGGAGGAGGCGAAGGUGCUGCCGCCGCCGCCGCACAUACACCCUAAGGUGUAAAAGAUACUAGAUGCAUAGCAAGUCCAUCACAACUCCUGCCUGAAAAUUUUACCAGACUUCAAGAGCCUCUCGCCACAUCUUGAAAAGUGCCACCGUCCGAUGAAAAACAGGAGCCUGCUAAGGAACAAUGCCACCUGUCAAUAAAUGUUGAAAACUCA